rnacentral:rRNA from 1 species
UACGUAGGGCGCAAGCGUUAUCCGGAAUUACUGGGCGUAAAGCGCGCGUAGGCGGAUCUGCAAGUCGGGGGUGAAAUCCCGAGGCUCAACCUCGGAACUGCCUUCGAUACUGCGGGUCUCGAGUCCGGGAGAGGUGAGUGGAAUUCCUAGUGUAGAGGUGAAAUUCGUAGAUAUUAGGAAGAACACCAGUGGCGAAGGCGGCUCACUGGCCCGGUACUGACGUUGAGGCGCGAAAGCGUGGGGAGCAAACAGG